UGUUGCAUGAAAGUAGGAUUAAGAUAUCCGGGAUAAAUGACUGAGCCGAGUUCACCCAAUCCAAAACAAGAGCGUCCAGGCUCAGUCGGUUGCACAAAGACCAAGCCAGGAUGAGCAGACACGGAUUCAUCAAGCCAGGGGAAACCAAUCCUGGCUAAGUGCGCGUACGCGGCUUCCUUAAAUAGACCCCAGAUAUCGAUCGCAGAUUCACUGAUUCACCAUGGCAACGCGUGCGGCAUACUUUUCACCGUCAGAAGCGGAGAUCCUCAUGGAAGCAUAUGAAGAGGUGAAAGAUCAAAUCAGAAAGAAAGGCAACACAGCAUCAAUAAUUAAACAGCGCCAAAAAGCUUGGGAAACCAUUGCAGAUCGCCUGAAUGCCAAGUAAAAGUCAAAUACAUGAACAUCUUGCAGAAUGCCGUCAAAAUGAGAGGCCAAAUACAAAGAACGGGUGGUGGGUCACCUCCCACCGCCCUCACCCCAGCCGAAGACAUGGCCUUAUCACAAAAUAAAGGCAGGCCAGUUUUGGAGGGGAUCCUUGGGGGGACAGAAACAAAUGCAUGUCCCUCCCAAGAGGCUAACCGCUUCAUACAAGUUUCUGGCAGCACCAUCUCCUUGCUGGAGCCACCAAUGCCAGAUGAUGAUGAUGAUGAUGAUCCAGUAAGUACACUGUACGCCUGCCGUGUUCCCUGAUCAGGGACCAAUAUAGUUGAAUUACUUUAGUUA